UACCGAGGUCCCAAGCGUUGUUCGGAUUCACUGGGCGUAAAGGGUGCGUAGGCGGUCGGGUAAGUCUGACGUGAAAUCUCCAAGCCUAACUUGGAAACUGCGUUGGAUACUAUCCGGCUUGAGGAAUGGAGGGGAGACUGGAAUACUUGGUGUAGCAGUGAAAUGCGUAGAUAUCAAGUGGAACACCAGUGGCGAAGGCGAGUCUCUGGACAUUUCCUGACGCUGAGGCACGAAAGCCAGGGGAGCAAACGGG
rnacentral:rRNA from 1 species